rnacentral:misc_RNA from 1 species
GAGCGCAUUCAGAAUGGUCUUGAGCCUGAAAAUAUCGACAAGGAAUUCUUGAGGUUGUGGUUCAAAAGUCAUUGCAACCCAUAUGAGGAUGAGGUCUUGCCUGAUGCUCCAGAAGAACUUGUUUCUGAAUUAGCUUGGCGAUAUAUUUUUCUAUUCGAGACAAUAACAAAUUCAAGAUUCGAGAUGCCUGAGACAAAGGAGCCAGUCCAUGAUCGGAUCUCGAGAAAUGUUUCACAGGCUUUAUCAUCAUUGCAGUAAUAACAUCAAACAAGAGAGCAUCUUGCAUAAGUUUUAUGAGGUGGAAUAAGUACCUUCUGCAGUAAUCUCUGAAGAAUUGUAUUUUAAGCUUGUCGUCGAGGAAGUCGGUCAAUGUUGUAAUGCUAUGUGAUUACUCAUAUAACAACAGUUAUGCACCAUCCCCAAGUAAGUUAGGGAACCAUAAACUGUAAAGUUACUAGUUUUUCUAGAAUUUUGGAUUUUGAUCAUCCUAGUUUGAGUUAAAGAAUAGUUGGC